rnacentral:rRNA from 1 species
UUAUCGUCUGAAGAUGGGCUCGCGUCUGAUUAGCUAGAUGGUGGGGUAAGAGCCUACCAUGGCAACGAUCAGUAGCUGGUCUGAGAGGAUGAGCAGCCACACUGGGACUGAGACACGGCCCAGACUCCUACGGGAGGCAGCAGUGGGGAAUUUUCCGCAAUGGGCGAAAGCCUGACGGAGCAAUACCGCGUGAGGGAGGAAGGUCCUUGGAUUGUAAACCUCUUUUAUCAGGGAAGAAGUUCUGACGGUACCUGAUGAAUAAGCAUCGGCUAACUCCGUGCCAGCAGCCGCGGUAAUACGGAGGAUGCAAGCGUUAUCCGGAAUUAUUGGGCGUAAAGCGUCCGUAGGUGGUUAUGCAAGUCUGCCGUUAAAGAUGGAGCUUAACUCCAUAGGAGCGGUGGAAACUGCAAGACUAGAGUACAGUAGGGGUAGCAGGAAUUCCCAGUGUAGCGGUGAAAUGCGUAGAUAUUGGGAAGAACAUCGGUGGCG